rnacentral:rRNA from 1 species
AUUGAACGCUGGCGGCAGGCCUAACACAUGCAAGUCGAACGAGUGGCGGACGGGGGUGUAAUGUCUGGGAAACUGCCAGCUGGAGGGGGGUAACUACUGGAAACGGUAGCUAAUACUGCAUAUCAUAGGAUGUGCCCAGCUGGGAUUAGCUAGUAGGUGGGGUAACGGCUCACCUAGGCGACUAUCCCUAGCUAGUCUGAGAGGAUGACCAGCCACACUGGAACUGAGACACGGUCCAGAAUCCGACGGUAGGCAGAAGUGGGGAAUAUUGCACAAUGUGCGCAAGCCUGAUGCAGCCAUGCCGCGUGUAUGAAGAAGGCAUUCGGGUUGUAAAGUACUUUCAGCGUGAAGGCGUUACUCGCAGAAGAAGCACCGGCUAACUCCGUGCCAGCCGCCGCGGUAAUAC